AUACCGGCGGCUCGAGUGGUGGCCACUAUUACUGGGCUUAAAGGGUCCGUAGCUUGAUAUGCAAGUCUCUUGAGAAAUCCGCCAGCUUAACUGGUGGGCGUUCAGGGGAAACUGCAUUUCUAGGGACCGGGAGAGGUGAGAGGUACUGCCGGGGUAGGAGUGAAAUCCUGUAAUCCCGGUGGGACCACCUAUGGCGAAGGCAUCUCACCAGAACGGGUCCGACAGUGAGGGACGAAAGCUGGGGGAGCAAACCGGAUUAGAUACCCGGGUAGUCCCAGCUGUAAACGAUGCGCGUUAGGUGUGUCAGUGACCACGUGUCACUGAGGUGCCGAAGGGAAACCGUGAAACGCGCCGCCUGGGGAGUACGGUCGCAAGGCUGAA
rnacentral:rRNA from 1 species